rnacentral:rRNA from 1 species
UACGAAGGUGGCAAGCGUUUGUUCGGAUUUACUGGGCGUACAGGGAGCGUAGGCGGUUGGGUAAGCCCUCCGUGAAAUCUCCGGGCCUAACCCGGAAAGUGCGGAGGGGACUGCUCGGCUAGAGGAUGGGAGAGGAGCGCGGAAUUCCCGGUGUAGCGGUGAAAUGCGUAGAGAUCGGGAGGAAGGCCGGUGGCGAAAGCGACUUCCUGGACCAAUACUGACGCUCAUGUGCGAAAGCGUGGGGAGCAAACAGGG